rnacentral:rRNA from 1 species
UCGCUACUACCGAUUGAAUGGUUUAGUGAGCUCUACGGACUGUCGCCUGCCUUAGGCAACUUCGGCUGGCAGCGGGAAGUAGAUCAAACUUGAUCAUUUAGAGGAAGUAA